rnacentral:lncRNA from 1 species
GGGAUGGAGAAGGCACACACUAAGAUGCUUUAGGAGAAAGCAUUGACAGCAUUCUUGGAGAAAAAAUUUUAACUUGUCUGAGAGGGUGGUUGAAACUGGAACUCCAGAGAUAGAUGCUGGAAGACCCUGGGAACUGCAAGGAAGCAAAUAAUGACAUCCAGGCAAGGCCACUAACCCCUGAGCUACUUAAAUAUAAUGGUUCCUUUCAGACUGAUACCAGGAACCUCCUUAAGCAUAUAAGCAUAUAUUUUUUAAUUCUCUAUAAUCUGUUUCUUUUUGGAUGACUAUGAAGUAGAUUGGGUAGACUGAAGCUCACUGUAUUCUUGGCUGACGGUAUCCCACUGUGUUUCCUUCACUGGUUUCUCGUCAUGUCUCCUUUAGUAUGAUUUAGUAAAUGGC